UGAAGCCUGCGAGAGGGGGAAAGAACACGGCAGGCUUACCCUCGGGCUCUUGCAGGCUGGCCUCCCCAGUCCACACGUGUGCACCGCUCUCCCCCCACAGGACCACGGGGCUGGCGUGUCCCACUGGGUGGCUCCACGGCACGGGCCCGGACAGCCUGGAGUCCGAACCCCAGCUCCGCCCAAACCUGCACGAGGUCUCUAAGCCCCCUGUGCCUUAUUAUCCCCAUUUUGCAGAUGAGGAAACUAUCACUUCUACUCAGACUGCUGUGAAGACGGACUAAAUGGACCCAGGAAAAGCAUUUAGGAUGGUGCCCGGCACACAGUAAACACAAAAUAAAUGACGUCUGCUACUACUGUCAUCCGCUGAGAGUCUGAGAAGAGACAGAGAAGCUUCCCUGAAGGGACCGUUCUGCGUCUCAGAGAAGUACAACCACACAGAGGAAAUGCAAGGAGCUUCCAGGUCUGCUUGGUCUGGCCGAAUGGAAACUCCUAGAAUCCCAGCAUUGUCUGCCCUAAAGUCUGUCCAUGAGUCUGAGGCCUUCCUCCCCAACCAGUUACCAUUAUUUGGUGAUGAGAGGUGGGAUCCAGAGAAGACCUGCGGCAGCUCGGGAGCUGGUGAGCAACCGGGGCAAGUGCCCACGGAGUUCAGUGAGCUGCCUUCCUGUUGACCUUGGAGUUUCGAAGGUCACACAAAUGAUUUUAUCGACCUCCCUCUGUGUGUCUGUAGACCUUGCUCUGGUAGAACGCAGUAUGCUUGCACAUCACAAACAUGAACCGGAGCCCCGAGCGCUGAGAUAACGUUUGUAGCUGGCAUCAUCCAGUCUGCACACGAUGAGGGAAUGUUGCAGGCCACUGCACUCCCUUUGCUGAUUACCCUAAACCCUCUAUAACCCCCCCUGGGCCAGGUAGAAACUUCGGAGUUGGCUUUUGGACAAGAGCCUGCCUUCUCCCCAGGUGGCCAGCCUUUUGAAUAAAGCUUAUAUUCCUUUUCAAUCAAAAGCUCAUCUCUUUGAGUACUGGCAUCUUCAGGGACGGGAAGCCCCACUUGGGUUUGGUAGCACUUUAACCCACCAUUGAUAAAAGGCAUGCUUCAACACUGGAGAGGCCUAAUUGCUUCUUUAAAAACAGCCAUGCUUCAGUCUUCUCACCGUGUAUUACCGGAAGACAAAGACCUUGAGCAUCACACGUUGCAACCUGGACUUUUUUUCUGGAGGUGUCUUUUCCAAUAGACAAGAUUCUGUUCAACCUUGCCAGCAAGGUACUGUUGACCAAUCCUGUGCUGACAAACACCAGAGAACAGACUCCUGGAUCCAUGAGACCCCUCUAAAGAGAGCACCACAGCCUGACUGGACCUGCACGCCAUCCGAUGACCUGAAAAUCCGGAUUUCCCGGCCCCGGAGCAGACGACAUCUGAUGAGAUCUCUGGAUCAGGCCUGUUAGAAGGUUCGGGGUUCACAGGAGUUUCUUUCAUUUGGAUAUUAAUGGACUCCUCUGGAGUCUUACCCGAAAUUCAUGGUUUCUGAAUUUUCGACUUUACUGUAUUAUUAGUAAUACGCCUAAGUUCCAGCAGUUCUGAGAUAACAAUGCUGCUUUUCAACAUCUUUGAAGUUUUGUUGUUUUGCAAAAAGUUCCCCAGCUAUUGCUUCGUGUUUAUACCUGCACUGUAUCUUCCCAAAUGCACCCGGUUAAUUCUUCCAGGAGGUUCCUGCAGUAUCCCCUAUUCUGUUCCCAUGAGUGCUUUCAGUGGGGACUCCCAGGAGGUACACGUGACUCUGGGGUUUGUCCCCAUACGAGGGACUUUCCUUCCCUACGUGGGAGUAAGUGCCCACAAAUAUUUCUCAUUGGCUACUUUCAGAUCUAGGAUCUUGUUUUAAAACCAUCACAUAAUUUGGAAUGGUCAUGUUACUUUUGAUUCUGUACUCGGUGCCUGUCAAACCUUUGUAAAAAUGCCGUGACCAAUAAGGACAUGCUCUCUAGCACCUACAGUCUUGAUAAGUAUGGACUACAGAUGGAAGUGGUCCUUGCGACUCGAACGGAUCCCAGUAGUUUCCCAUCUAUACAAUUUUCCACGGACGAGUGAUGUGACAUCCAGGAAAGAUCCUUCCUGGCGCUGAGGGACCAAAAAAGGCCACUGAAUUGUGAAAACCAGACUCUUGCUCCGUGAUGCGUUUGGAGAAGGAUCUUGAUCAAAAGGGGGAAAUGUGAAAAUUAAUAAAGGGACACCUCACUGAAAUGGAGUGGGAAUAAAAUGAGGAACCAUCCGACUCAAUGUCAAUUACAGGAAGAGCUGUUCAUUAUAGACCCCAACAGAAGAAUCCUCAAUUACAGGUCCCAGGAGGGAAUGAAGUGCAUUGCAUCUCCUACAAGAAACUGACUAUCUCAGCCACGGAGGAAGCAUCACCUCCCAACUUCCUCCUCUUUCUCUAUAAAAUAACGUUCCUCUCCUUUGUUUACAAUGGGUCCUGCCUGUGGUGCUGCAGUGACUUGCAUGUCCCAAAUUUCAAUUCUUUGUUAUUCCUGAAUAAACCCAUUUUUGCUGAUUACCUGCCAAGACUUGAAGUCACCGUGCAAUCCCUCUUCAGCCUGAUUAAAAUUACUGUCCUGACCAGCACAAGCCGCUGAGGGGGUGGGCGAAAAAUAGAUUCUCUCUGCUUCAGCAAUGCCAAGAAAGAGACUGGACUUUUGGCACUGGCCAGCAUUUUGCCUGUGGGCACUUGACAUUCACUUUUCUUGAACCGGAGAGGUUGGGUGAUGCUGCUCUGCUCUGAUUUUAUCCCUGGGCUCCAUGUUCAAGUCACUAAGGCUCAAAUAGCCUCCCCACACCCAUCCGGCCAGCAGUGGCAGGGCCGGACUCAAAUCCUGCUGUGUCUGACUGCAGAGCGGUCCACGCCAUGAAGGUUUUCAAAGGUAAGUGCAGG